rnacentral:lncRNA from 1 species
GCUCCAUCAUGUGGCAAAAAAAUGAAUUGAAAGGGAAAGAUACAUAUCGACUUGGCUUGCCAUUCUGAGCAACACACCUGUCCUGUAGAGUCCAAAUUCAGGAGAGAUAUCAAGCUUGCCAGUUUGUGAUUAUUUAACCUAAUCUUAUACCACUCCCAUGAGAAUGAUCCGUGGCACCAUCCCCUUUAUGCUACAGUGCUGUUUUAUUUUUUUCCCUUAUUUUCAGACACUCAAACCUUCCCACUUGGUUCUAGGCACAGGACCAUGCACUUCUCAUCCCCUCUGUUAGGAGCACUGUUUGUUUGUUUGCUUGUUUGUUUCCUGAACAGCUGAUUUCUUUGGUAUUCAGGUUACAACUCAAACGUUGGUCUUUAGAAACAGGCCUUCCUACCCCAUUGAAUCAUCCUGUUUUAUCUUCCUCAUAGAAUAAUAGUAGACUUUCUUAUUUCCUUCUUAAAUUAUGAGUGGUGUUUAUUUCCAUAGAGAUUAUAAGCUCUGUGAAGGCAGGCAUGUAUCUUUUCUUCCCUACUCUGCCCCCACUCUUAGAACUGUGUUUGGUGGAUGGCAGAUUCUUAACUUGUGUUUCUAAUAAGUGUGAUUACAAAGAAACAGUGGUGAAUGUUCACAUUUGCAUUCUUUCUGCACAGCUAUUCAGUUCAACAACUAAAUCUGUAAAUUAAGCCUCUCACUCGAGUCAAAAAGGAAAUUGUAAUGCUAAAAUUGAGAGAAACAAGACCCGUACCAUAUAAUAGCAAGUAUGAGAGUAGUGAAAGCAAAACACUUCUUAAUAUACUAUUCUGCAGAAAGGGACACCAGCAUAGAGAAAGAACAAAAGUGGCUAGCAUGGCAUUUUGACAUGAGAUAGUAUAUAUUUUUUUUAAAGUUCCUAGUAGCAAGAAAUUGCUGCCCCCCUUUUCCCAUAGGCUGGUACUAAGAGUGGUAACCUUUGUGUUCUUCUACCAUAGCCCCCUCUCAAAUUCCUCACCCCAUUCGUUUGGGAAAAUAUCUUAGGCUUCAAUUGUCUCCUUCUCUGAUCAUGGGCUCAGAUAUAUAACAGAGUGACUUUCAAUGUUCUGAGACAAGCCAGUGCCCAUUGCUAGCUAUAGGAGAGACAGACCUAGCUCUUCUUGCUUAUGUGUGACAAUUUGGUGGGCCAUAAGUACACCUCAUACUGAAAAUGAGCCAUAAUGAUUUAUUUUUAUCUAGCUGCUGUGGCCAGAAUACUUUGCCAAGAUCUCUUAGCUGGUGAGUUUACAUCAGAGGGAGCAUCGUGGGUACACUUCCGGUUCCCUGCUCCAUUCCUUGCCUCCUAUUGGAAUCAGAAUUUCAGGCUUGUACUGAGAAAUCUCCCCUCACCAGAAGAGCAUAAAAAUCAUACUCCCAUGUCUGCCAUGUGCGCUCUGAUUCCGCUACGAAGAGUCUCCAUCUGUCUCUAGUACUGGGGCUACUGCCUCUGUCUACCCAAGCAUGUCAUUAACAUCUUUUCAACUAAAGUCCUCACUGUAUUCCAGUAAUGUUUCAGUGUCUAUAUCGUACUAUGCCCUGCUCAACCAGAAACCCAA